rnacentral:rRNA from 1 species
UGGUCGAGUUCUACUCCAACCCAUGUGAACUU